GAUAUGCCGAGCUCUAUCUAUAGUCUAUUGAUGUGGUUUAGACAUUCAAUUCGAAACAUUGGUAAAAAUAGAAGGAUAAAGAGGGAAAAAAAAGGAAGAGAGAAGGAAAAGAGAGGAAAAUACUAGCGGUGACUAGUGAUGGUCCAUCGAGGCCAUCAGAGGGGCAUCGAGACCUCCAGUGCUUUGUUUGUAUUUAAAUAGGUGAAUAUAGAUAGAUAGAUGGAUAGAGAGAGAGGAGGGGAGAGAAACAAAAAGAAGGAAAGGCUGGUAGGGUUUUGAACUAAUAGAAGCCAGGGGGAUUUUGGCUUUUUGAAGGGGUCGACAGCUCUCCAAUGGCUAUCAUUGACCUCUUCCUCCUUCCAUUUCUUUUUCUUCCUCUCUCCUCUCUCUUUUCCUCUCUCUUCCUCUAUAGUUCAAUCAUCCGAGGGUCACAUAUCUCUCCAAAGGCUAUCAUCGACGUCUCCACCAAUCUCUCUUUCUUUCUCUUUUUAGUUUUCUUUCUUUCUUUUUUUUACUGUACUUCUUCAUCUCCUCAACUUUCUUUACUGUAUUGAUUCAGAUUCGGUACGGUUCUAUAUAGGAUAUCAAAUUGUCCUAUUAGCCGAUCGAUAUAGGAUUUGCUUUUGAUUCUCUUGUUUUUAAUUAAUUUUUUUG
rnacentral:lncRNA from 1 species